rnacentral:rRNA from 1 species
ACGGGAGGCAGCAGUGAGGAAUAUUGGUCAAUGGGCGGAAGCCUGAACCAGCCAUGCCGCGUGAAGGAAUAAGGUCCUAUGGAUUGUAAACUUCUUUUGAGCGGGAGCAAUAAGGCGUACGUGUACGCCGAUGAGAGUACCGUUCGAAUAAGCAUCGGCUAACUCCGUGCCAGCAGCCGCGGUAAUACGGAGGAUGCAAGCGUUAUCCGGAUUUAUUGGGUUUAAAGGGUGCGUAGGCUGUCCGUCAAGUCAGCGGUGAAAUGCCGGGGCUCAACCCCGGAGCUGCCGUUGAUACUGUCGGGCUUGAAUACUGUUGCCGUGGGAGGAAUGAGUAGUGUAGCGGUGAAAUGCAUAGAUAUUACUCAGAACACCGAUUGCGAAGGCAUCUCACGAAGCAGCGAUUGACGCUGAGGCACGAAAGCGUGGGGAUCAAACAGGAUUAGAUACCCUGGUA